GACCUUCAAGCCUGCAACUUCUCUCCAUCUAUUAGACUUACUCUCUGGAGCAAGGUUCUAUCAGCUUCCCAAAGUCCUGUUACAAUACAUAGAGUCUUUGAAGAUACUUUUUAUGCUCCCAGGGGAGGUGUUGAUCACUCUUUCCAAACGCAUCCUCGACAUCCGCACAUAAACCUGUUAGAAUAGCAAACAACUGGUGUGUCUGAACUAUGCAGGAACGCAGCUUGAAAGCUACAAGACCAGGAAAAUAAAAGUCAAAGAUGAAGGAAUGGUAGGAGUCUUGGUAUGCCUUGCUAUAGAAGGGAAAGAGAAAACAGAGAAAAAAAAAAAGAUUUUUUGAGACUGUGCUUUUAUUUACAUUUUGGUGAGACAGUAUUGGAAGUAUGAUUCUUGUUGUCAUUAACCUGAUUUAAUAUAAAUUCUACUCCUUGGAGCCUAUCCUUGUUAAAGCAGAGAAUUCUUUCAGUGACUUAAGGUAUAUACUGUUGAUUGCAUUCAGUAUUGAUUUUUAAGGAUUAACACCAGUAGUAUAAAAUCAGUUAGCAUUUGGAACUCAAAAUUUAAAUCUUGGUUACUCACCUUUCUCAAAACAUAUGUAUGCACAUAAUCAUUACAAAUAUUUAUCUUUUUUUUCUUUUUUUUUUUGGCGGGGGGUGGGGGAUAUAUUUUCUGGAUGGUCCUGUGUUUAUUCCUUUUCUUUCUGUAUUCAGUUUCUUGUUCAU